AUUGCCAGCCGGAUCAUCGCGCCGAAGUGCCUCCAAGGCGACUCCGGUGAGGAAAGUCCGAACACCACAGGGCACCGUGCUUCCUAACAGGAAGGCACUGCUUCACGGCAGUGACGGCACGUGCAACAGAAAGCAAACCAGCCGAUGGUUCUCAUGAACACAGGCGAUGGGUGAAAUGGUGGGGUAAGAGCCCACCGGCGCUGCGGGUGACCGGAGCGGCCAGGCAAACCCCAUGGGGUGCAAAGUCAAGCAGCAUCGCUCCUGCAAAGGAUAUGGCGGCCCGUCAAAGUGCGAUGCGGGUAGACUGCUCGAGGCCGGUGGUGACACCGGUCCCAGAUAAAUGAUGAUCUCCCUGCGUUACGUCAGCGGCCGUGCGCGGGCAGACAGAAUUCGGCUUACAGGCUGGCAAUGCCG
rnacentral:RNase_P_RNA from 1 species